GAUGAACGCUGGCGGCGUGCCUAAUACAUGCAAGUCGAGCGAACAGACGAGGAGCUUGCUCCUCUGACGUUAGCGGCGGACGGGUGAGUAACACGUGGAUAACCUACCUAUAAGACUGGGAUAACUUCGGGAAACCGUAGCUAAUACCGGAUAAUAUAUUGAACCGCAUGGUUCAAUAGUGAAAGACGGUUUUGCUGUCACUUAUAGAUGGAUCCGCGCCACAUUAGCUAGUUGGUAAGGUAACGGCUUACCAAGGCAACGAUGCGUAGCCGACCUGAGAGGGUGAUCGGCCACACUGGAACUGAGACACGGUCCAGACUCCUACGGGAGGCAGCAGUAGGGAAUCUUCCGCAAUGGGCGAAAGCUUGACGGAGCAACGCCGCGUGAGUGAUGAAGGUCUUCGGAUCGUAAAACUCUGUUAUUAGGGAAGAACAAAUGUGUAAGUAACUAUGCACGUCUUGACGGUACCUAAUCAGAAAGCAACGGCUAACUACGUG
rnacentral:rRNA from 1 species